GGAUGGGUGGCCGAGCGGUUGAAGGCACCGGUCUUGAAAACCGGCAGAAGGGCAACCUUCUCGUGGGUUCGAAUCCCACCCCUUCCGCCA
rnacentral:tRNA from 1 species